AGGAGCCUCUGAAAACAUGUCGAAUUUCGCCUACAUUGUCUGAUGUUACUAUGAUAAAACUAGUUGUAUCCGAGGCUUUU
rfam:Beta vulgaris subsp. vulgaris Bvchr2.sca013.con0152.1, whole genome shotgun sequence.